rnacentral:rRNA from 1 species
UACAGAGGGUGCUAGCGUUAAUCGGAUUUACUGGGCGUAAAGCGUGUGUAGGCGGUUUGUUAAGUCGGGUGUGAAAUCCCUGGGCUCAACCUGGGAAUUGCAUUCGAUACUGGCAAGCUAGAGUACGGUAGAGGGCGGCGGAAUUCCGGGUGUAGCGGUGAAAUGCGUAGAUAUCCGGAGGAACACCGAUGGCGAAGGCAACCGCCUGGGCCUGUACUGACGCU